ensembl:snRNA U7 U7 small nuclear RNA
AAAUACACAAAAUCUUUUAGUAUUUGUCUAGAAGGUUUCCUUUUAAAGGAAGUCCAU